UUGAAGAAUUUGAAGACUUCAACUUGCAGACUUGAAGAAUUUAAAGACUUCAACUUGCAUACUUGGAGAUUUUGGAGACUUCAUCU
rnacentral:pre_miRNA from 1 species